rnacentral:lncRNA from 1 species
AUUAUUUUUGUCUUUUGUCUUUUUAGGGCUACACCUGCAGCAUAUGUGUGUUCCCAGGCUAGGGGUCUAAUUAGAGUUACAGCUGCCGGCCUACACCACAGCCACAGCAACACAGGAUCUGAGCCGUGUCUGUGACCUACACCACAGCUCACGGCAACACCGGAUCCUUAACCUACUGAGCCAGGCCAGGGAAAGAACCUGCAACCUCAUGGUUCCUAGUCAGAUUCUUUAACCACUGUGCCACAAUGGGAACUUCUCUCUCUUUUUUUUUAAAUACCCUUUAGCCUUUACAGAGCUCUCCCUAAAAACAGCCGAAUUAAAAGAAUCUUUUAAAGUCAGAAUACGCAAGGUCUGCUGAGUGAAGCUAAGCUAGUUCCCCUCCUUGAAAGUUCUAGUUUGAAUCUUAGGGCCUGCUCGUCUGGGACCUAAUCUGUCAGCCAAGACAGAAAAGAUUAGAAGUCAAGGCAGAAAAUCCAGGGGAAAUCCUGCCCUCCGAGCCCUUCUUUUUCCUGCACACCUAUUUGGACUUAUUUCUGGACUUAAUCCCUUCCCCUCCCAACCAGGACAUUGCUAGUCUUAUUACCAACAGGGAGCCCUCCUCAGAAUCAGUUCCAGCAGACACCUACCCACUCGCCCUUUAGUAAGUGAAAGCAGGCAUGGUUUCUUUCUUCUGCUGGGGGAAAUUGAUUGAAAGACGAUUUUCAAUUUUGCAAAAGUGAAAAGGAUUAGGGGAAAAUCUGUUUGCUUCUGUUCUCCUCCUCUUCCUCCCCCUUCUUCUUCAAUCUUUUUAAACUAUUUAUAGAAACAAUCCCUUUAGGGUUAGAGGGAUGUGGCAAGUUUCUAAUCUCUUCAUCUUUUUUCCUUGCUAUCUAUUUACUGCAGUCCUAUAUUUACAAUCUAAAUUUACAUUUCAUUUCCAUUUGCUGAAGCGUCUAAUGCACUUUUCUAUUACUACCAGAACACCAUGUGUAAUGAUAAACGCUAUUGAAAUGAACCAAUUCCGAAGGAGUUUUUAGGGCUAGAGGGUGACAUUUCUCUCUUCCCAAGACAGGUCUGGGGUGAACAAGUUAUUAUUACUCUUCCAGGCAAGCCCAAGAUGGGGGCAGUGCAGCCAACCAAGCAACUAGGCUUGUGGGGUUGACGUGCUUAUUUCUAAAUAACCAUCUACUGAGAAUUCCUCCUUGGGAUUAAUUUGAAUUUUCUUUUUAAUCUAAUCCCCAAAUGUCAGCUUCCCAUCUUUUUAGCUCUUAGAAUCUCUCUGACAGGCAAAGCUUAAGGUAAAUCUCAUAGAUGUUUUUUGAAUCUCAACCAAUAUUUCAUCUCUGUACACAUCACAAAUAAAGGAGCCAAAAGAAGGAUGAAUAUAACACCUUUGGGAGAAAAUUUAUAACGGUUCUUGGGGAGAGAUGAGAAUUAUAAAUAAAAAAGGAAUAGCAUGUGCUUUUUCUGAUUAUCAUUUCUAGUAUCUGGAGGACCCUAAAUAUCCAACCCAGUCUGGAAGCAUAGCAGGUGACCAGCCUGCUUUUUGAACUCUAAUUAGCAACUCAGCACAUAGGUCAGCAUGGAAACACUUUUUAAUCUCAUGCUGUCUUAGGCACAAGGGACUUCAGGAAGGUCAUCUGGAACUAACAUAAUACUCACUAGGACAUCCUGAUUCUAGCCUUUCUAAUGUGGAUACUAAUUUGGCCAUGAAAGUAGAAGUUUGACCUCAAGGUGUCCAUUGGGUAGUUGGUAUCUUUUAUGAAUUAUAAGCAAAACUUAAACCCCAAACAGUUGUCUGGAAUGAGCAUUUGUUGUAGUAAAGAGAGAUGCCCUCAUGGAGCAAAAUUUCUGCUACAUUCAAGUCAAUCAGAUUUGUUUUAAGAGUGGUGGUCAGCCCUCAGAAUCUCCCUCUGUGUGUUGCAAGGUGGAGAGAAAGGGUGUUAUUACGCUGGGUGAGGGAAUCCUUGCCUCACACUUUCAAGCUUAGUUGCCCCUUUUCAUCAAGGGGCACAGAAGUGAGUGGGUAUCAGAAGGGGGUUCUCUGAUGCAGAGCUCAGCCAAGGCAAGGAUUUAAAAAAUCCCAAUUAGAAAUGUAGUGGUUAACGGCCUCCUGGGGCAGAUUUUCACAAGUUCAUGAUCUUUCUGACUAUUUUGAAUAUUUGCUUUCAGUCUUACCCUUUCGCUAAAUAGCAGCUUGUUAUCAAUGUCAGCACCAGAAAAACCUCAUGUGGCUUUAUCCAACGGGUGUGGCUCCAAGAAUUUGAGAGUGACUGGGAAUUAAGCAGUUCUUUUCCUAGUUGCACCAACAUGGAGGUCUUGGGGCGACAAUUAGCUCACCGGAGGGCAGUCAUUCAGUUCUGUACAUCAAUCAGCUGCAUCUCCCUGUCUCCUUUUGGAUCAGGCUGCAUUGCACCCCUGCUUUGCUAGGUACCUUAGUCUAAUCUAUCCUUUCUUCCAAAAUGACUUCUGCCCCACACACUAAAACUUUAGUUCAGAUUCCAUUUGUUAGACACACAUCUCCAACAACUACAAAAACCAGCCUAACAUUUCCAAGGGCUUAAAGAUGUUGAAGAAACAGCAUAAAGGGGCUCCAUCAGAGGCUGCCCUCACGAUCAUCUUUACCAGAAAGACCCACGGCACCAAGUCCCCAGAGAUGCCAAUAAUUGGCUAAUUCAGGGAUCUUUCACUGAAUUUCUAAGAGCGGCGGUUUAUGUUUAGAAACAAGUGAUCUUCAAAACAUACCUGGUCUAACACUCAGAGUUGUUCCUUUUCCAAAUAUCAGCUUAUCAUCAGCUGAGGUACCACACAAUGACUCAAGACUCUACAAAAACUCAAUUGCCCAAACUCCCCUUACUACCUACUUAGGUAUUUACUGAUUGUCCAAGAGCUCCCCCUCCAACUGAUAAAACUAACUCUUUAUAAUGAUGGUCUGGUAGUAGAGUUUAUGAGCCACAUGGGGGCCCUCCUUUUUCCUUGCAUUAUUGUCACUUCAUUGGAAAUGUGCCAACAUUCCCCCACAACAUGCCUGCUCUGGUAAGCCAGGAGAAGGAACUGCCAGCCCCAUUUUACAGAGGAAGAGAAUACAGGCUCAGAGAGUUAACUGAUUUUUUUCUUAGUCCCAUGGAAAGUUCCACUAGUUAUAAUACAAAAUUAAGCUUUCCAACAGUCUGACUCAUUAGUUUCAUGCUCCAUUAGCACUGUCGCUCUCACCUAUUACCUAUUGGUAAGUGAGAGUCAAUAGCAGAGUCCCACCUGAGGUAGGUACACAUCAGCAGCUGUUUAAAUUAGAAUCCAUCAAGGGAGUUGCGGUGGUUUAUAAAACAAAGUGGAAAAUUUAGGAACUAAGGUUCCAGCAGAAAUGUGGAAGCAUGAGUUGUUCAAACUUACAUGGGUUUACUGUCAGUUUCGUUCCUUUUCCAAAGAAGACACCUGCAGCAGAAACACCAAGUUGUAUGAUUACAUAAUUGUAUGGUCAUUCCCAAAAAGGGAUGCAAACUAUUUAAUCCGUCUUUACCUUAGAUUAUCGCCGUGAAUUAAUUGAUUAGUUUAGUUGGUUGGCAGUUGCAAUUAAUCUGAAAUCGCUCGGGCUUGGGGUUUCAAACCCAAGGCAAGUUCCUCAACUUGCUGCACCUCAGUUGCCCUGUCUGUACAGUGGAGUGAAUGAUGCUGCGUGGUGACUUGGUUGUAAGGAUGAGGAUAUGCAAGUGUGUUGCAGUGGUCCUGUUGCUUAACCCCUGGAUGCUUAGCUGAGACAACACUUCUCUAGGGAUUAUUUUAGCAAUUUUAGAGACCAAAGCAUCAAUGACUUUCCCCCCAAACAUUACCCGUCCCCACCCCCAUAAACAUUUAGCUCUGGAAUCUGAGUGCUAAGAAUUAAAUUUCAGGCCCUCUUUCUCACUGAGUCAGUUUGAACAAGUGACUCAACCUCUCUUCAUGCUUCUAUAAAAAUAGAAAAUAUAAAAAUUAUAAAAGCUCUCUUCUACAAAAUGAGGAUAAUAAUAGCACUUAACCCACACAGUUGGCAUUAGGAUUGACUGUGAUGAUGGAUAGGAAGCAUGCAGCACAUUACCUAACACAUAGUAAGCAGUUCAUAAGUCAUCAUUAAAACACAUGGCCAAUGUCAUCAUUAAAACACAAGUCCAAUGUCAUCAUUAAAGCACAAGGCCAAUGUCAUCAUUAAAACACAUGACCAACACUCCUCUUUUCACAAUGAUCGAAAAGAAUCUCAAAGUCCUUGUGCACUUCUCUUCCUCUAACUGGUCAACCGGCAGGGCAACAGAAAACUCACCUAGCAGUUUGAUAGGGGGGUUAAGUGAUUUUGUAAGAAUUUAGCAAAAACUUUCUAGCUGCAAGGGUGCACCUUCAUGGUUGGACCAUUUGGGGGAUGUGGGGAGGGUAUCUUUGAGCCGGGCAGGACUUGAACAUGAGUAGAGAUGGGUCAAGAAGCCACCUUCCCAUUAAUUGCUGUAAAAAGGAUCUCAAGUCACAUUCAAGAGGAAGGUUCAGUGCCCCCUCCACUUACCAAGAUGCACUGUGAGCUGAGUCCCCUUCCCAAAUGUCAUUUUAGAGCCAUCAUUUUGCUGAACACAGUGCUGAGGGGUUUGGCAAAAACCUGUGGGGUCAGUUUAGCGAACCCAGCUCUGCAGAGCUUCCCAAGAACUCACAUUUCCUUCAACUUCCAAGCUUCUAAGACAGGAUGAGUGAUGGUGCCUUUCUUUGCAGUAGCCCAGAGCUUCAGGGCAGAGGGGUAUGGCCAGAGAUAUGAUUGCCACUUUAAGAUACCAGAAGGCUCAGCAAGCUGAGUCUGCAUACACAUUCUGUGGUCCAAUGUAAUUGCAUAGCCGACGCAAUCCAUCAUAGAUAUAAAAUCCCACUGGGAGAGAAAUUAGCUCUGUAGAAUUUAUAGGUAGUGUUUGAUGGUCAUAGUCAAUUGUCUGAAAAGUCUUUUGGCUUUUUCCAUUCCUGCCUCAGUCUGCAGCUGGCUGCAUGCCUCCCCUAAUAUCUAGUUCAGCUGUUGUUCUGACUUCAGCCAGCUUUUCCCCAAAAAACAUACAAUAAUUUUAUCUCUCUUUAGAACUCUGGGCUUCUGUUUUGAGCUAAGUCUUGGAUGAAGAAUAUUUGGGGGUGCAAAUGAAGCUGUUUAGUCAAGGACAUGAUGUUUUCUUUCUCUUGGGCCUGGAUUGGUCAGCAUGAUGAGCUGUCUUGGCUUUGCCCUGGACCAGCCUUAGCUAUGUGACCUUGAGCAAGUUCACAAACCUCUCUGAGUUUCACUGUCCUCAUAUGUGAAUUUAAAAAGGUGAGCGAGGUGGUCUUUAAGGACUUUUUGAGCUGAUAGUUUUUGAUGUGAUUCUCUAGAUUUAAUCUUUCCAAAAAUUCCGUGCAAAUGUCCCCCCACCCCAUAACCCCACCCACCCUCAGGGUAUCUGAUCCUCCUCCCCAUUUCUAAACAAAACAAAUAAGCAGAGAAAAGUAGGUCUGUACUUUUCUCUGUUACCUAGGGAUACAGUUUUCCAAUCCUACCAUCUGCCUUAACAUUUGAUCUUUUUAGAAGUCUGAAGUCAGAAUUUGGGAACCAAAUCCUCAGGGAGAAGUGUUCUUUCUUUGGACCUUCCAGAUAAUUCAAAAACCAAACCAAAGAAACCAACCCCUUUGGUUUAAAACUAUAGUACUUACUAGGUUUUACUCUCACUUGAGUCCUGGCACCGAAGGUAAAUUUCCUAUCUCUGUCCUUCCCACAGGAGCUGACGCCUUUACGUAAACUCCAGGCUCUUGCUUACCCACAGGAAAGGUGGUUUGAUCUUUAGAGUCUUUUCUCAAUGGAUAAGAGAAUUCAUCACCUAGCCAAGGGUUCCAGCUCUCUGAUUGCUAGAUAUUAGGUACUGAGGGGGUCUUCUAAUGAUAACGCUACACUGAAAUGGAUACUUACUCAGGCUUACAGUUAACAGAGUCCCCUGCCCAAAGGUCAGUUUCUCAGUGUUCUUCACACAGUGCCUGGGCCCUUUACCAAAAGUCCCUCUUACUGCUGGGCUGUGACUUCCUCGUCUCAGCCCAUCUCUAGUGUGAUUAGGGGCACAAGAGGGUG